AAGGCUUUAGCUUAAUUAAAGUACCUGUUUUGCAUACAGGAGAUGUGGGGUAGUAUCCCGCAAGUCUUA
rnacentral:tRNA from 3 species